UCUCCGUUGGUGAACCAGCGGAGGGAUCAUUACCGAGUGCAAACUCAUAACCCUUUGUGAACCUAUAUCUGUUGCUUCGGCGGCUCGCUCUCGGGCGAGCCCGCCGGUAAUAUCAGUAUCUCUGUUUGAACCCGACGAUACUUCUGAGUGUUCUUAGCGAACAGUUAAAACUUUUAACAACGGAUCUCUUGGCUCUAGCAUCGAUGAAGAGCGCAGC
rnacentral:misc_RNA from 1 species